ACGAACGCUGGCGGCGCGCCUAACACAUGCCAGUCGAACGAGCGAGAGAGAGCUUGCUUUCUCGAGCGAGUGGCGAACGGGUGAGUAACGCGUGAGGAACCUGCCUCAAAGAGGGGGACAACAGUUGGAAACGACUGCUAAUACCGCAUAAGCCCACGGCUCGGCAUCGAGCAGGGGGAAAAGGAGCAAUCCGCUUUGAGAUGGCCUCGCGUCCGUUUAGCUAGUUGGUGAGGUAACGGCCCACCAAGGCGACGAUCGGUAGCCGGACUGAGAGGUUGAACGGCCACAUUGGGACUGAGACACGGCCCAGACUCCUACGGGAGGCAGCAGUGGGGAAUAUUGCACAAUGGGGGAAACCCUGAUGCAGCGACGCCGCGUGGAGGAAGAAGGUCUUCGGAUUGUAAACUCCUGUUGUUGGGGAAGAUAAUGACGGUACCCAACAAGGAAGUGACGGCUAACUACGUG
rnacentral:rRNA from 1 species